GGGCUGCCACCAGACUGCUGUCUCUUCAUCUAUGAUUCAAGACUUAAUUUUCCCGUCUUCAGCCCUCCAGUCAUUCUUCAGUCAUCCUGUGUGAAUUUUACAUUUCUAAAAACAAGAAACUCGCCUUAAGACUAAGAGGAAAAUUGAGCAACACAUCAAGAUUUGAGCCAAACGGGCCAAGCAUGAAAAUUGUCUCUUCCCGGGCUCAAUGCAAACCUUGUUCACAGCUUUCAGCAUCAACAAAAACCAGCAACCUAACCAAGACUGAUAGGGAUCAAAUGCACCCACUGAGACCGGGGAACAAACACGAUAAUACUUAUAACGACAUCCGAAGACUAUGAAGCUCAGUAACACCGUUUUUAAAGGAGGAUUGCUUGAAAAACAGAAAGUCCGCUCCAUGCUGAGAGAAAAUAUAUAUAUUUCCUUGGUCUUGUCUUUUGUGUCCAUGAUGACUUCAUGCAGCAGUUGCACACAAUGUUUCAAACAUCCUCUUCAAUCAACUGCUUUAAUAGGGAACAUUACUAUUCCAAAUGUGGAAUUUUGGUUUGGUUGCCUCAACUUAAUAAAAACUGUAAAGAAUAGAAUAUGUACAGAACCUAUCAAAUCCACAGUUCAAGAAUUCAAAAUGCAUAGUUAUGCUUUUCCUAAUAUGAAUGGCUGUACCGUUAUGUUGAGGGACAUGACUGUAUAAGCUUUGAGAGACUCUGAAAUUAUUAAGAAACCAAGAGGACAUUUCUUGGGUAGCAAAGCUUUCCAUUCAUAUUGACUGAAGUAGGCCAAGAACCGGUAACAGUAGGAAUUUUAUUGGUGAGCUUUGGAUACCUCAUCCAGUGAUUGGCCAGCGCAGUUCUGUUGUCAGAACCUCCCUCUAGCUAAACAGACUAUGCUGUAUGAGAAGAGAUGUGAUAACUGGAUGAUCGUAACAACAGCAGCCACACAAAGGCCAAGCCAACUCAAACUACAGCCUGAGAAGACGGAUGCAGAAGGAUCUUCUGAACUCCAAGAGGAAGUUGGUGGGAAAGAGUCCAGCUGUCCUAUGGUGGUGUGAGUCUACAUCUCCCUCACUAGGAAGAGCCUGGUGGAUAUCAGCAGAAGGCAACCAAUGACCUUGUGGCUAAGUGAGUAAGC